UACAGAGGGUGCGAGCGUUAAAUCGGAAUUACUGGGCUAAAGCGCGCGUAGGUGGCUAUGCAAGUCGGAUGUGAAAUCCCCGGGCUCAACCUGGGAACUGCAUUGAGACUGCAUUGCUCGAGUAUGGGAGAGGGAAGGUGGAAUUUCCGGUGUAGCGGGUGAAAUGCGUAGAUAUCGGAAGGAACAUCAGUGGCGAAAGCGACUUCCUGGACCAAUACUGACACUCAAGUGCGAAAGCGUGGGGAGCAAACAGGAUUAGAAUACCCC
rnacentral:rRNA from 1 species